UUUAUGAAAAGGAUACCAGAGAGAUAAGAGGGCUCUGUCAUUUAGCAGCCUUGAUAUUAAGGGGCCCAGAGUUGAACAGGUGCAAGCUGAUCAGAGGAAGAUGCUCUGAGAAACUGACAGCAGCCUAAAGAGCUAUUAGACCACUGGAAAAGGAUUCCAGUCACUCUAAGAAAAUAAAAUGACAUGCAUCAUGCUGGCCUAGGAAGAUAGCAGUCACCAGUGUAACCAAGACGUGUUUGACUCACAAAUUAGCCUUCUGAUUUCAACUGUAAGAAGCUGGGAUUUCCCCUUGAAGAAUUUCUUCUGCAUGACUUGGUGAUAAUGUUCACAAAACUCAUCAUCUCGGAAGAUUUCCACAUUCACAUGGGUAGUGUCCCUGAAAUGGUAUCACAAAACCUCCUACCUGAACUCUCAAUAAAAGUUUCUCAAAAGUAAUCUCCAGAACCCACACAUAGCUGGCCAUACUGGGAUUGGAUAUGGACAUAAGGAACUUCCAUCAGGCUGAAGGUGGAUUUAAGAAACCCAGGAAUUACCACUUAUCCUGCUUGACUUGCAGGUAGAAAUAACUCACCUAAUUGCAAAAACUCACCAUCAUGGUCCAACCCAACAAAUUCUUGGAACUGGCCAAAUUCCAACACUCAUUCAACAAAAGGAACGUUGCACCCAAACAAGAAGUAAAUGAAUGAAAAAAUUAGCUCAUUAGUUUAAAUUAAAGAACAGAAUACCCAGAUCCCAGGGAGAUCUUCCCCCAAAAACUAAUAGUGAACCACGAAAAAUAAUAUAUUUAAUGUCUUUGGCAUAAAAUGCAAUUUGCAUUUUUAAAAUGUGUCUGAAAUUUUAUUCUCAUUUGCAUUUCAUGUCAGGAAUUAGAUUCUAAAAACCCACAACAGCAGCUGUGAUAGGUACUUUUGCCCUGUAAGAAAGAGAUGUGCAUACUUCCAUACUAUAUAGCAUUGCUUGCAACUUCUGCCAUUUUAAGGUUUGAUUUGCCCUUGAUACUGUAAAACUAAGGCUUCUAAAA